GCAAGUAUCAAGUUACUUUUUUGGCAGGAAAAGAGACAUCAUGGGAAGAAGAAGGCUGUCCUUUAGAGGGAGAAGCCAUAUUUUUAGACCAAGAUAUUGAGCUGAACAUGGUGACAUACGCCUGCUAUCCCAGCAGUGAGGAAGGCUGAGGCAGGAUGAUCACAACUUGAGCCCAAGCCGGACACCUUGCGCAGAGCAAUGGACUGGCCAUGGACUGGAACCACAAAAACUUCGACAUUUACAUUGGAACGGCACAAUGAAGACACCUGCCCUAACCCUGGAGGAAUGGUCUGCUGCUAACAAUCCAAGAGUCAAGCAGGCGGGGAAGUGAAUCGCUGAGGGCCCUCAGAUUGCAGUCACACACUACAGCUUCUGCGGGUAGCCGGGAGGACAUAGGCUGACCCAUCACCCUGGAUCCAGGAGGAGGCAGAAGGCUUGAAGAUUGUGCUUCCAUAAGGUGGCUCCUGAAGUUCAAGUUCUCUCUCCGGGCUGCUACUCCCUGGAAACAAGGGAAGAAUCUGGGAAUGUUUUCCUUAUCACCUCUUCAAAUAUUCAUUUUCUACUUGUGUACAUUUUAGCCAUUUUCUGUGUUGCUGGGACAAAUACUCACUGCUCACAACUUGAAGGGGAAGGAGUUUAUUUUGUCUCAGUUACAGUUUCUGGUCAUCUGGUUCCAAAGCAGAAACGGGAGGAUGGAGGAACCUGGCUGCAGGAGAGCUGCUUGUGUGGUGGCAGCCGGGAAGCAGAGAGAGAAGUGAGGGCCAGGAACAAGGAUCACCCUUUCAGGUCCCGUCCCAGGACCCGCCUCCAACUCGGCUCCUCUUUCACAGCAAGUCAGCGGUAGCACCCCAUGCAUGAUUCAAUCACCUUGCAGACAUAUGAAGCAUUUGAGCCCAUUUGAGAUCUAAACCAUAACCGUGUGUGUGUUUUUACUUGAUUAUUUAAAUUAACAAACAGUACAUUAGACUUUUUUGGUGUACCGUCCUACUAAUUUUAACACUUGCAUAGAUCUGUGUAAUUACUAUCGCAAUUAGCAUACAAUUAGAAUGAGUCUUUUACUCUCUGGCUCAGUCCUCUCCCCACACAUCUAACCCCUGGCAAAUAGCCAUCUGCUUUUUUUGUUACUAUAGUUACAAUAUGUUUUUGAAAAUGUCAAAUAA